GAGUUUGAUUCUGGCUCAGGAUGAACGCUGGCGGCGUGCCUAACACAUGCAAGUCGAACGGAGAACUUAAGUGGAAGUUUUCGGAUGGAAACUUUUGUUCUUAGUGGCGGACGGGUGAGUAACGCGUGGGCAACCUGCCUCAUACAGGGGGACAACAGACGGAAACGUCUGCUAAGACCGCAUACGUCUUUUUGGUCGCAUGACUGAGAAGGGAAAAGAGUAAUCUGGUAUGAGAUGGACCCGCGUCUGAUUAGCUAGUUGGUAAGGUAACGGCUUACCAAGGCAACGAUCAGUAGCCGGACUGAGAGGUCGGACGGCCACAUUGGGACUGAGACACGGCCCAAACUCCUACGGGAGGCAGCAGUGGGGGAUAUUGCACAAUGGAGGAAACUCUGAUGCAGCGACGCCGCGUGAGUGAAGAAGUAUUUCGGUAUGUAAAGCUCUAUCAGCAGGGAAGAUGAUGA
rnacentral:rRNA from 1 species